CUAGCUAGAUGGAAUAUUAAGCCAUGCCUACAUAAUUUUAUACGAUUGAUGAAUCAAUUUUAUUUAAGAUUAACUACUUUUAAAUACUCGCAUGUUAUAUGUUUUGACUGAAACACGGUUUAUAUGCAACUUUUUGUAUGGACUGAGACUCACUGUUGUCAACCCGGCUAAAAGAGGGUCACUCGAUUCAAGAUCGGUUAUUGCUACCAUGAACUGGAUACGAGUAGUGCGCGCCUAAUGGAAUAAAUGAUAAGCAAUCUAUACCAUCUAGACCGCGAGAUGGGGAAAAAUACCGAAAUUUACCUUUACCUUUUCAAAAUAUACCAUAAAUUUACCGAAACAGGUUUCAUAUAUAUUGCUAGCAUCAGAGUGUGACCAGGCUACACUGCUCAGUCAUGUUGAUUUGUUUACUUUUGUGAUAUUGAGAGAUAAAUUCUGAAAAAAUGAACGCAAGCAGUAAAUUACUCCACUCCGGUACGAGGAAUGGCGUCAAGAUGUUUCCUCAGUGUCAGAUCCCAUAUUAUUAUACAGUUCAGAAACGAACAAGUUCAAUUAAAGUUUCGCCAACCGAGUUUCCAGUGUGACCCCAUCGCCGGUAAGUUUGCCCAACACAAUUUACAGUGGGGCUCCAAAAACUUCAACCUACCUACAUAAGUGGAUUUAAUAUUGUAUAAUGAAAUAAAUGUUUUGAAUUGAUGUUUGUUAAUAA